rnacentral:lncRNA from 1 species
AAAAGCAGAAGGGAGAAGACGUAAAAACACUGUAAAAGUUCCAGGAAAAACAAAAAUACAUGGGCCUCUUGACGUGAUUAUCCUCAGGAAGAGCACACUGUGAAAACGCUCUUGCUUUACGGAGAACUCAACGUGCGAAGAGUCAACAUUUUAUAUUCUCUCUGUCCUUGUUGCAAGUAUAUUUUCCACAGUCACGUGCAUCCUCCUUAGUAAACCCUGGGAGCUUGAAGAUUUUUUAAUAUAAAACAACAGUUGAUCCCCAUAAUAAUUGAUGACAGAGUUGAAACCUGACUCCAAUGACCUGGAGCAACCAUAUGGUUUAAGGUCGAGAAAAAUAACCUGUCCUAAUUCUACAGCAUGAGUAUUCCAGAGGGGCCAAAACAGUGGCGUCUUCGCUGGAGUUCAGGACCCCUACAAGCAAUUUGGAAACUGUUGAAUUUACACAACAACCAUCUUUCCGUGAGUUCUUUGGACCUUUGCUGCCAGUCCAGUUGCUGAGUAACUCCUGGAGUCCUUCCAGCAACCACUUCACUGUCCAUGAGGCCUCAUCAUUUUUGGUGCAAUUGGAUAACCAUUAAAUAGGAGAUAUCGACUUCCAAAAUCACUCUGAACAAAUCCUAUUAGGAUACAGUCUUUCACACACUAUUUCUGUAACCUGGUAAGAGAAAACAAAACUUGGCAACUCGUCAAAUGAGUAAGAUCUUUAGUGCACUGAAUACAUAGUCUCCCUAACUGGACAACAAAUAGUGAUUUUAAAAACUAAGAGUUACCUUUUGGUAAAGAAAACAAAUUUAAAAUUUACUCUAG